rnacentral:rRNA from 1 species
AGUGAACGCUGGCGGCAGGCCUGAUACAUGCAAGUCGAGCGGCAGCGCGGGGGCAUCCCUGGAGGCGAGCGGCGGACGGGUGAGUAAUUAGCCGGAAGCUGCCCUUCUGUGGGGGAUAACGUAAGGAAACGUACGCUAAUACCGCAUCCGACCAACGGGUGAAACAGGGGGACCGAAAGGCAACACGCAGAAAGAUGAGCCGACGACCGAUUAGCUAGUUGGUGGGGUAAAGGGCCACCAAGGCGACGAUCGGUAGCUGGUCUGAGAGGAUGACCAGCCACACUGGAACUGGGACACGGCCCAGCCUCCUACGGGAGGCAGCAGUGGGGAAUAUUGGCCAAUGGGCGCAAGCCUGAUCCAGCCAUGCCGCGUGUGUGAAGAAGGCCUUCGGGUUGUAAAGCACUUUUGUCGGGAAAGAAGUCCCUGGAGCUAAAACCUUCAGCGAGUGACGGUACCGAAAGAGUAAGCACCGGCUAACUUCGUG